ensembl:lncRNA
CUUCGCCCUCGGAGCAGGAACUGCAGUAGAUAUAAAUAUAUGAAGCUGCAAAUGGAACAAAGUUGACCUCAACAUUGCUCAACCGACUUAGUUGCCAAACAUUAGCUUUUAGGCACGUUUUACCAAAGAAUGCUGCACACUGUGAAUCACUUUUACUCACUUUAUUAACAACCGUUCAGACCUUCAUUAGGUCCAGUUAAUUUAGAUCUUUUUUACUUCAACAAAGCGAGUACAAGGAAAAUGGACAGUGUGUAGAAUUCCUCUGGUUUUAGAAAGACAAAAGUUGUAAAAUAUAAAACAACCAAAGGCAAAGACGUCACAAUAUUGAAGUCAACUUUCUUUAAUUUGAAACCACAGUGUAUAUGCGAUACAAGUUCAUAUGGUUCCAGGUAUCUGUCGGUAAGACUUUCCAAUAUGUUCAUAACAGUUACUUAUUUACACUUUUGUUAUAAAGACAUCUAACGAUAGACAAAUGUUGGUUAAACUAUGGCGGGAUGACAGUGUAUCAAAGACGGCCACCAGGUGGGAGUGUGAACUCAGCAAUCUCCCACAGUGCAAUCUGUCCUGGAGACUGGGCCUCUCACUGUUUGCAGCCAAGUUCAGAGUUCAAAACAACCUGUUACAGUAGAUCACAUACUCAGUCGUGUAAAUACUGUAACUGUGAACGAGUAGUGUGCAUUCGACAUGGUCAAAGCCGUGACUUUACGGCAAAGGUCCAGCUGUUGUAAUUCACCUCUGUCCUGCGUCUGUAUGGUUAAGGUGUAUUCUCUCUCUCUACUGGUACAGGGAAGGGAAUCGCUUUCUAAAUGUUUUAGGUUUAGUUUGAUACAGCAGAAUGUUUUGAAUUCUAGGAAUAAGUUAUGUGGGAUGGAUCUGUGCUUGGUGGAGCACCAUUAGUAUAUGAUGUGUGUAUGAGUUGGACAUGGGUGUGUGUGCUUCCUCUGGGUCUGUGGGAUUUUGGCCCAUAAUUCCUGCAGCUCUCAGGUCACAGCUCCUUUCUCACGCACAUAUUUGGCAUUCCUUCCCCGACAUGAUUACCAUACACCUUCCACUCUGGGUUUGGCUACGCGGAAUAUUUCCAUCAUUCCCGACUGGAACUAGAGCCACGUUCCAGAAAACGAACAACUCACCCCGCCACCCCCUACUCGUCCU